rnacentral:ncRNA from 1 species
UUGAAGAGACACGAAAGGUGUAGCAUAGGUGGGAGGUUGCAGUCGGCACUGUUUGGUGUCUCUGUGAUUUCCCAUGAAAUACCACUACUUUGAUUGUUUCUUUACUUAUUGGGUAAAGCGAAAAAAUUGUGGUCACUUUCGUGGUCUGUCCGCUGUUGGUCAUUGUUUUAAUGUUGGAUUUGUUUGUAAG